rnacentral:rRNA from 1 species
AUUGAACGCUGGCGGCAGGCCUAACACAUGCAAGUCGAGCGGCGCGGUGGACGGGUGCGUAAUGCCUAGGUAUCUGCCUGGUAGUGAGGGAUAACUUCCGGUACCGGGCGCUAUCACCGCAUACUCUCAGACGAGCCUAGCGCGGAUUCGAUUGUUGGUGGGGUAAAGGCCUACAAAGGCGACGAUCCGUAACUGGUCUGAGAGGAUGAUCAGUCACACGGGAACUGAGACACGGUCCAGGCGCCUACGGGAGGGAGCAGUGGGGAAUAUUGGACAAUGGGCGAAAGAAUGAUCCAGCGAUGCGGCGUGUGUGAAGAAGGUCUUCGGAUUGUAAAGCACUUUAAGUUGGGAGGCGUUACCUGCAGAAUAAGCAACGGCUAACUUCGUGCCAGCAGCCGCGGUAAUUC